rnacentral:rRNA from 1 species
UACAGAGGGUGCGAGCGUUGUUCGGAAUUACUGGGCGUAAAGCGCGCGCAGGCGGCUCUUUAAGUCUCGUGGUCAAAUGCCGGGGCUCAACCCCGAGCGUGCCGGGGAUACUGGAGGGCUGGAGACAGGUAGAGGCAAGCGGAAUUCCUGGUGUAGCGGUGAAAUGCGCAGAUAUCAGGAGGAACACCGGUGGCGAAGGCGGGUCUCUGGGCCGAUACUGACGCUGAGGAGCGAAAGCGUGGGGAGCAAACAGG